rnacentral:rRNA from 1 species
UACGGGGGGAGCAAGCGUUGUUCGGAUUUACUGGGCGUAAAGGGCGCGUAGGCGGUCAGCACAAGUCAGUUGUGAAAUCUCCGAGCUUAACUCGGAACGGUCAACUGAUACUGUGCGACUAGAGUGCGGAAGGGGCAACUGGAAUUCUCGGUGUAGCGGUGAAAUGCGUAGAUAUCGAGAGGAACACCUGCGGCGAAGGCGGGUUGCUGGGCCCACACUGACGCUGAUGCGCGAAAGCCAGGGGAGCGAACGGG